CUUUCAGACAAAAUCCGACUUCUACCAGUUUAUAAUAACUCACCAGCUGUACCCUUAGGUGUCCGCUUCCACAAUCAAACUUCUAAUAUUUUGAAGAUCCUGACAAAGCCUGAUGCUGUCAUCCAGACAACAAACGAUUACUGAGAAACAGACAGAAGAUGGGCUGACCAUGGUUUAGAAGUGCACAAGGUUCCACAUAAAAAUACCAGUGAGUCACCCGAAUCUUGCUCUUUCUGAAAACCUGGAAUGACAAAUCCACAAAGGAUUUUACAUGUGUUCACCACAGCAUCUCUUCUUUACAGGCACAUUAACAGAAGAAUGCAUGAAGCAACAAGGGGUUUUCAAGCACAGGGGCUUCAUAUAGCCCCCUAAUUGGGAUCCAGGAGAUACAUUCCAUCACAAACAAGUAAGUAGGAGAUAUAAAUGCCAACUGCCUAAUUUUUGUAUUUUCAGAAAAUCCUCAUUUCCUAUAACUUUAUUUUGGAGAAAUAGGUUGAAUACUAUUGAAGAGGAAAAGGAAUUAUGUGCUAGUUUUCAGAGAUAAAAAUGAAACAUCAGACUUCUAGAUUUCUGUUAUCCUAAGGACAAAUGUUUUUUCUGAAGUACCAUGCUCACCCAAGAUGACCAAUACUCUAGGAAGAAUAAAUAUCUCCUAUGACAACCCUUAGAUAAAGAUUAGACAUGCCUGAUUCACAGGCCUCUCCAGGAAAACAUGUUCUAUCAGAAAAGACAACAGAAAAUGAUGUGUAAAUAAGGGGAAAAUUGUGAGUUUAAUUUAGGAAAUCUUAACUUUUAUAAGACUAACUCUUGACUUCAAGAAGCCCUACCAAAAUGCUCUUUCCAAUCAUUGCAGUAUUCUCCCUGAAAGUAGAUCUAGCUGGUACAAAUGUCUUCUUCAUGUUACAUUUGAGCAGUAAUUUAUGGAUAUCGUCCUUCCAUUCAUGGAUAGAUAUCAGCCUUUUUGGUAGGAACAUAGUCAGCAAGAGAAGGAUUGGCAGGAUUCAGUGAUAGUGGAGCAAAGAUGAUACUUGGUUCUCUAUGCCAAUUGCA